rnacentral:rRNA from 1 species
UACGUAGGGGGCAAGCGUUGUCCGGAUUUAUUGGGCGUAAAGAGCGUGUAGGCGGCCAUACAGGUCCGUUGUGAAAACUGGAGGCUUAACCUCCAGACGUCGAUGGAAACCGUGUGGCUAGAGUCCGGAAGAGGAGAGUGGAAUUCCUGGUGUAGCGGUGAAAUGCGCAGAUAUCAGGAAGAACACCCGUGGCGAAGGCGGUUCUCUGGGACGGUACUGACGCUGAGACGCGAAAGCGUGGGGAGCGAACAGG